rnacentral:lncRNA from 1 species
AUUGAAGUGCACAAAUCCGGAGCUGUGUGUGCAUAUGUGUGCGCGCUCAGAGUGGAGAGAUUCUGCUGUGCAGUGUUCGCUGCAGAGCCCGAGUCCUGGCACGUGGAAGGCGGCUGUGUGAAGAGGUUUACCACAGAGGAAUGGGUGAAGCGCCAGAUGGAUGCCACAGCAGGUCUUUCCAGACAAGACAAAUACACUCUUCAAUCAAGCAGACUGCCACACAGUCCCUUUAGCUGCUUUCCUUAUGGCAAUCCUAAUGCUGCUCAACAGAGUGCUCACCUUCCAGAGAUGCCUGGAAAGGUGAUAUGCUCUCCAGAAGCCCUCUGCAUGAAACCAUUCUCACUACAUGAAGGCUAUGAGCAGUUAGUCCGGACAGAGUUGGGCUCACUUAGAGGAAAACUGGUUGUCUCUAAGAGCUUGGCUAUGGAUCUGGGCUUGCAAGAGAAGCAGGGAGUCAUCUGGGAUGCACUUCAUAUUUCCCAAGGCAGUCUCCUGACCCUGCAUGGCUUUGUCCGGGGAGAUGAGGACCUGGAAGACAACAGCAUCCUUCUGGGGGAACUAGGCGCUGAGUUAAAGGGCUAUUAUAAACAAACUGCCCUAACACUAAAGCAUACACUUGUAAACCAUAGUGAUUCCCCUUCGAAAAUAGGUGUUAUAGUCAAGAUAAUGUACUUGGGUCAUAAGACAGUGUGUCUUUAUGAUUCAAGCUCAAAAAUACGUUACCCCCAAAAAUAUUAUCUGACAAUCAAGACAGUAAGGGACUUAGAGAAGGCUUUGCUGAAGUCCUGUGUAACAUGUGUAGCCUAACUCCUUCUUGCUGAUUGACCCGAUCCAGGGGUCAGUCAACGGGGUCUGCAAGGAUGAGAGUGGGGAUGGAGGGGCAAAAGACAGGAAGAAUGGAGACAAGACAGGCUAUCUGAUCAAGUCUUGUUUAUUGAAAGGCAACUAUGGGUAUAUAAGCACACACUGGGGACUGCAACUGGAGACACCUAGCCAAAAGUCCAGGAUGUGUUUAAGGAAAACAAGAUGUUAUCAGAGUGUAUUCAGCUAUGGUGAGCUUCUUACAAAAACCUCUAGUUCCUGUUCUUCUGUAACUCUUCAAAACAUAAAUUUAGGGUGGGUAUGGGGGACUUUUGGUAUAGCAUUGGAAAUGUAAAUGAGCUAAAUACCUAAUAAAAAAUGGAAAAAAAACAUAAAUUUAAA